rnacentral:rRNA from 1 species
CCUACGGGUGGCAGCAGUGAGGAAUAUUGGUCAAUGGGCGCGAGCCUGAACCAGCCAAGUAGCGUGAAGGAUGACUGCCCUACGGGUUGUAAACUUCUUUUAUAAAGGAAUAAAGUGAGGCACGUGCGCCUUUUUGUAUGUACUUUAUGAAUACGGAUCGGCUAACUCCGUGCCAGCAGCCGCGGUAAUACGGAGGAACCGAGCGUUAUCCGGAUUUAUUGGGUUUAAAGGGAGCGUAGAUGGGUUGUUAAGUCAGUUGUGAAAGUUUGCGGCUCAACCGUAAAAUUGCAAUUGAUACUGGCAGCCUUGAGUACAGUAGAGGUAGGCGGAAUUCGUGGUGUAGCGGUGAAAUGCGUAGAUAUCACGAAGAACUCCGAUUGCGAAGGCAGCUUACUAAGCUGCCACUGACAUUGAGGCUCGAAAGUGUGGGUAUCAAACAGGAUUAGAUACCCUUGUAGUC